rnacentral:piRNA from 1 species
UGACCCAUUCACUUCCUGUUUAAGUUAGGGC